rnacentral:rRNA from 1 species
UGGGGAAUCUUGCACAAUGGGCGAAAGCCUGAUGCAGCGACGCCGCGUGCGGGAUGAAGGCCUUCGGGUUGUAAACCGCUUUCAGCAGGGACGAGGCCGCAAGGUGACGGUACCUGCAGAAGAAGCCCCGGCUAACUACGUGCCAGCAGCCGCGGUAAUACGUAGGGGGCAAGCGUUAUCCGGAUUCAUUGGGCGUAAAGCGCGCGUAGGCGGAUUGUUAGGUCAGGAGUUAAAUCUGGGGGCUCAACCCCUAUCCGCUCCUGAUACCGGCAGGCUGGAGUCUGGUAGGGGAAGGCGGAAUUCAAAGUGUAGCGGUGGAAUGAGCAGAUAUUUGGAAGAACACCGGUGGCGAAGGCGGCCUUCUGGGCCACGACUGACGCUGAGGCGCGAAAGCUAGGGGGGGGAACAGG